GACGAACGCUGGCGGCGUGCUUAACACAUGCAAGUCGAACGGUAAGGCUCCAGCUUGCUGGGGUACACGAGUGGCGAACGGGUGAGUAACACGUGGGUGACCUGCCCUGCACUUCGGGAUAAGCCUGGGAAACUGGGUCUAAUACCGGAUAGGACCGCACCGUGAGGGUGUGGUGGAAAGUUUUUUCGGUGUGGGAUGGGCCCGCGGCCUAUCAGCUUGUUGGUGGGGUAAUGGCCUACCAAGGCGGCGACGGGUAGCCGGCCUGAGAGGGUGGACGGCCACAUUGGGACUGAGACACGGCCCAGACUCCUACGGGAGGCAGCAGUGGGGAAUAUUGCACAAUGGGCGGAAGCCUGAUGCAGCGACGCCGCGUGGGGGAUGACGGCCUUCGGGUUGUAAACUCCUUUCACCAUCGACGAAGGGUUUCUGACGGUAGAUGGAGAAGAAGCACCGGCUAACUACGUGCCAGCAGCCGCGGUAAUACGUAGGGUGCGAGCGUUGUCCGGAAUUACUGGGCGUAAAGAGCUCGUAGGUGGUUUGUCGCGUCGUCUGUGAAAUUCCGGGGCUUAACUCCGGGCGUGCAGGCGAUACGGGCAUAACUUGAGUACUGUAGGGGAGACUGGAAUUCCUGGUGUAGCGGUGAAAUGCGCAGAUAUCAGGAGGAACACCGGUGGCGAAGGCGGGUCUCUGGGCAGUAACUGACGCUGAGGAGCGAAAGCAUGGGGAGCGAACAGGAUUAGAUACCCUGGUAGUCCAUGCCGUAAACGGUGGGCGCUAGGUGUGGGUUUCCUUCCACGGGAUCCGUGCCGUAGCUAACGCAUUAAGCGCCCCGCCUGGGGAGUACGGCCGCAAGGCUAAAACUCAAAGGAAUUGACGGGGGCCCGCACAAGCGGCGGGGCAUGUGGAUUAAUUCGAUGCAACGCGAAGAACCUUACCUGGGCUUGACAUAUACAGGAUCGCGCCAGAGAUGGUGUUUCCCUUGUGGCUUGUAUACAGGUGGUGCAUGGUUGUCGUCAGCUCGUGUCGUGAGAUGUUGGGUUAAGUCCCGCAACGAGCGCAACCCUUGUCUUAUGUUGCCAGCACGUUGUGGUGGGGACUCGUAAGAAACUGCCGGGGUUAACUCGGAGGAAGGUGGGGAUGACGUCAAAUCAUCAUGCCCCUUAUGUCCAGGGCUUCACACAUGUUACAAUGGUCGGUACAGUGGGUUGCCAGUCCGUGAGGGCGAGCUAAUCCCGCAAAGCCGGUCUCAGUUCGGAUCGGGGUCUGCAACUCGACCCCGUGAAGUCGGAGUCGCUAGUAAUCGCAGAUCAGCAACGCUGCGGUGAAUACGUUCCCGGGCCU
rnacentral:rRNA from 1 species